CGUAACACGUAUGCAACCUACCUAUAACUGGGGGAUAGCCCGAAGAAAUUCGGAUUAAUACCCUAUAAUAUUUACUACUCGCAUGAGUUGGUAUCUUAAAACUCCGGUGGUUAUAGAUGGGCAUGCGGCCUAUUAGUUUGUUGGUGAGGUAACGGCUCACCAAGACUACGAUAGGUAGGGGUUCUGAGAGGAUGAUCCCCCACACUGGGACUGAGAUACGGCCCAGACUCC
rnacentral:rRNA from 1 species